GCCUCAUUGGUUCAGUCAUUAAGCAUCUGACUCCAGCUCAGGUAAUGAUCUCACAGUUCGUGGGUUCGAGUCCCACAUCAGGUG
rnacentral:tRNA from 1 species